rnacentral:rRNA from 1 species
UGGGGAAUUUUGGACAAUGGGGGCAACCCUGAUCCAGCCAUGCCGCGUGCGGGAAGAAGGCCUUCGGGUUGUAAACCGCUUUUAGCCGGGAAGAAAAGGCACGUCCUAAUACGGCGUGUUCUUGACGGUACCGGCGGAAUAAGCACCGGCUAACUACGUGCCAGCAGCCGCGGUAAUACGUAGGGUGCGAGCGUUAAUCGGAAUUACUGGGCGUAAAGCGUGCGCAGGCGGUUCGUUGUGUCUGAUGUGAAAGCCCCGGGCUCAACCUGGGAAUGGCAUUGGAAACUGGCGAGCUGGAGUGCGGCAGAGGGGGGUGGAAUUCCGCGUGUAGCAGUGAAAUGCGUAGAGAUGCGGAGGAACACCGAUGGCGAAGGCAGCCCCCUGGGCCGACACUGACGCUCAGGCACGAAAGCGUGGGGAGCAAACAGG